rnacentral:rRNA from 1 species
UACAGGGGGGGCAAGCGUUGUUCGGAAUUACUGGGCGUAAAGGGCUCGUAGGCGGCCAACUAAGUCCGACGUGAAAUCCCCAAGCUUAACUUGGGAACUGCGUCGGAUACUGGAAGGCUUGAGGAUGGGAGAGGGAUGUAGAAUUCCAGGUGUAGCGGUGAAAUGCGUAGAUAUCUGGAGGAAUACCGGUGGCGAAGGCGGCAUCCUGGACCAUUACUGACGCUGAGGCGCGAAAGCUAGGGGAGCAA